rnacentral:rRNA from 1 species
GACAGAGGGUGCAAACGUUGUUCGGAAUUACUGGGCGUAAAGCGCGUGUAGGUGGCAAGGCAAGUCGGGUGUGAAAGCCCCGGGCUCAACCCGGGAAGUGCAUUCGAUACUGCCAAGCUAGAGUCCCGGAGAGGAUGGUGGAACUCUCGGUGUAGAGGUGAAAUUCGUAGAUAUCGAGAAGAACACCGGUGGCGAAGGCGGCCAUCUGGACGGUGACUGACACUGAGACGCGAAAGCGUGGGGAGCAAACAGG